rnacentral:misc_RNA from 1 species
AAGUCGUAACAAGGUUUCCGUAGGUGAACCUGCGGAAGGAUCAUUAUCAUCCAUAACUUUUUUUUAUUACUUCGUUUAUGUCAUAUUCUGGCAUGAUACGGGUAAUAAAAAAAUUAUAAACCAAUCGUGAACCGUUCUUUCUUAUUUACCAUUUGAACAACUCGAUUCAAAACAACAUUGAACUGAAUUGUUUUUCCAAUCAUUUCAUUAUGCUUGGGAAAAUGAAAAAUAUUAAAGAAAAACCAAAAACAACUCUUAGCAACGGAUAUCUUGGUUCUC